rnacentral:rRNA from 1 species
UACGUAGGGGGCAAGCGUUAUCCGGAUUCAUUGGGCGUAAAGAGCGUGUAGGCGGCCAGGUAGGUCGGUUGUGAAAACUGGAGGCUCAACCUUCAGAGGUCGACCGAAACCAUCUGGCUAGAGUCCGGGAGAGGAGAGUGGAAUUCCUGGUGUAGCGGUGAAAUGCGCAGAUAUCAGGAAGAACACCCGUGGCGAAAGCGGCUCUCUGGAACGGUACUGACGCUGAGACGCGAAAGCGUGGGGAGCGAACAGG